CCUACGGGAGGCAGCAGUAGGGAAUCUUCCACAAUGGGCGAAAGCCUGAUGGAGCAACGCCGCGUGGGUGAAGAAGGUCUUCGGAUCGUAAAACCCUGUUGUUAGAGAAGAAAGUGCGUGAGAGUAACUGUUCACGUUUCGACUGUCUCCAACCAGAAAGCCACGGCUAACUACGUGCCAGCAGCCGCGGUAAUACGUAGGGGGCAAGCGUGAUCCGGAGUUAGUGGGCGUAAAGGGAACGCAGGCGGUCUUUUAAGUCUGCUGUGAAAGCCUUCGGCUUAACCGGAGUAGUGCAUUGGAAACUGGGAGACUGGAGGGCAGAAGAGGAGAGUGGAACUCCAUGUGUAGCGGUGAAAGGCGUAGAUAUAUGGAAGAACACCAGUGGCGAAGGCGGCUCUCUGGUCUGUAACUGACGCUGAGGUUCGAAAGCGUGGGUAGCAAACAGGAUUAGAUACCCGGGUAGUC
rnacentral:rRNA from 1 species